AAGACUAUAGACCUGCGGAGUACCUGCGGAAGGAUCAUUACCGAGUUUACAACUCCCAAACCCAUGUGAACAUACCUAUCGUUGCUUCGGCGGGAUCGCCCCGGGCGCCUUGUGUGCCCCGGAUCCAGGCACCCGCCGGGGGACCUUAACUCUUGUUUUAUUUAGAAUCUUCUGAGUAGUUUUUACAAAUAAAUAAAAACUUUCAACAAUGGAUCUCU
rnacentral:misc_RNA from 1 species